UGAGGAAUAUUGGUCAAUGGGCGAGAGCCUGAACCAGCCAAGUAGCGUGCAGGAUGACGGCCCUAUGGGUUGUAAACUGCUUUUAUGUGGGGAUAAAGUGCGUGACGUGUCAUGCAUUGCAGGUACCACAUGAAUAAGGACCGGCUAAUUCCGUGCCAGCAGCCGCGGUAAUACGGAAGGUCCGGGCGUUAUCCGGAUUUAUUGGGUUUAAAGGGAGCGUAGGCUGUCUAUUAAGCGUGUUGUGAAAUUUACCGGCUCAACCGGUGGCUUGCAGCGAGAACUGGUCGACUUGAGUAUGCAGGAAGUAGGCGGAAUUCAUGGUGUAGCGGUGAAAUGCUUAGAUAUCAUGACGAACUCCGAUUGCGCAGGCAGCUUACGGUAGCAUAACUGACGCUGAUGCUCGAAAGGGCGGGUAUCAAACAGG
rnacentral:rRNA from 1 species